AUUGAACGCUGGCGGCAGGCCUAACACAUGCAAGUCGAGCGAGCGGCGGACGGGUGAGUACUGUCUGGGAAACUGCCUGUAGGAGGGGGAUAACUACUGGAAACGGUAGCUAAUCACGCAUACCAUGAGAUGUGCCCAGAUGGGAUUAGCUAGUAGGGUGGGUAACGGCUCACCUAGGCGACGAUCCCUAGCUGGUCUGAGAGGAUGACCAGCCAAACUGGAACUGAGACACGGUCCAGACUCCUACGGGAGGCAGCAGUGGGGAAUAUUGGACAAUGGGCGAAAGCCUGAUGCAGCCAUGCCGCGUGUGUGAAGAAGGCUUUCGGGUUGUAAAGCACUUUCAGCGGGGAGGCGUUACCCGCAGAAGAAGCACCGGCUAACUCCGUGCCAGCAGCCGCGGUAAUAC
rnacentral:rRNA from 1 species